CAGCAGCCGCGGUAAUACGGAGGGUGCAAGCGUUAUCCGGAUUCACUGGGUUUAAAGGGUGCGUAGGCGGAUAUGUAAGUCCGUGGUGAAAUCUCAAAGCUUAACUUUGAAACUGCCAUGGAUACUAUGUAUCUUGAAUGUUGUGGAGGUUUGCGGAAUAUGUCAUGUAGCGGUGAAAUGCUUAGAUAUGACAUAGAACACCGAUUGCGAAGGCAGCAGGCUACACAAAUAUUGACGCUGAGGCACGAAAGCGUGGGGAUCAAACAGGAUUAGAUACCCUGGUAGUCCACGCCCUAAACGAUGAUUACUCGACAUUUGCGAUAUACAGUAAGUGUCUGAGCGAAAGCAUUAAGUAAUCCACCUGGGAAGUACGACCGCAAGGUUGAAACUCAAAGGAAUUGACAGAAGC
rnacentral:rRNA from 1 species